UACGGGGGGGGCAAGCGUUGUUCGGAAUUACUGGGCGUAAAGGGCUCGUAGGUGGCCAACUAAGUCGGACGUGAAAUCCCUCGGCUUAACCGGGGAACUGCGUCUGAUACUGGAUGGCUUGAGAUUGGGAGAGGGAUGCGGAAUUCCAGGUGUAGCGGUGAAAUGCGUAGAUAUCUGGAGGAACACCGGUGGCGAAGGCGACAUCCUGGACCAACACUGACGCUGAGGAGCGAAAGCCAGGGGAGCAAACGGG
rnacentral:rRNA from 1 species